rnacentral:rRNA from 1 species
GAUGAACGCUGGCGGCGUGCCUAAUACAUGCAAGUCGAGCGAACGGACGAGAAGCUUGCUUCUCUGAUGUUAGCGGCGGACGGGUGAGUAACACGUGGAUAACCUACCUAUAAGACUGGGAUAACUUCGGGAAACCGGAGCUAAUACCGGAUAAUAUUUUGAACCGCAGGGUUCAAAAGUGAAGGACGGUCUUGCUGUCACUUAUAGAUGGAUCCGCGCUGCAUUAGCUAGUUGGUAAGGUAACGGCUUACCAAGGCAACGAUGCAUAGCCGACCUGAGAGGGUGAUCGGCCACACUGGAACUGAGACACGGUCCAGACUCCUACGGGAGGCAGCAGUAGGGAAUCUUCCGCAAUGGGCGAAAGCCUGACGGAGCCACGCCGCGUGAGUGAUGAAGGUCUUCGGAUCGUAAAACUCUGUUAUUUGGGAAGAACAUCUGUGUAAGUAACUGUGCACAUCUUGACGGUACCUAAUCAGAAAGCCACGGCUAACUACGUG